ACAAGUGUGAUUUGUACAUAUACAUAUACAUUAAUUGAUUGUAGCUUUGAAUGACAGAUAAAGAGUCAAAUGAAAGAAUAGCAGUUUACGUAAUUAGAGACCGGUAGGUUUCUUGCUGUGCUGUGAGAGACCAUUACGAAACACUUAUCCUUACAAAACUUAAAGAGGAGGAUCGGCCCUGAUAAUUCAUUUUUCUAGAUACCUGCAUUUCGAGACCGAAACUAUCUCCUGGCAACGUCUUGCUGGUGGUUGAAGUGGUGAAGACAGACUAGACCAGAAAGUUAGCAAUGGGACCUGGUGGACCGGGAGGAGGGCCUGGUGGACCGGGAGGAGGGCCUGGAGGACCUGGCGGAUGGGGGGGAGGUCCAGGAGGACCUGGUGGAUGGGGAGGAGGUCCAGGAGGACCCGGUGGAUGGGGAGGACCAGGUGGAUGGGGCGGAGGUCCAGGAGGACCUGGGGGAUGGGGAGGAGGUCCAGGGGGACCUGGCUGGGGUCCGGGGCCUGGAGGUCCCUGGGGCCCUGGAUUUGGAGGUGGGUUCUUUGGUGGAUUUGCUGAUGGCUUGUGCAACAUGAUAUCUUCUUUGUAAGCAAUCAUCUUUUCUCAAUUCUCCUCCAAUGUCUAGUUAACUACGCUUCGAUUUUUAUCUUACUCACUUCUUAACCUUAAUUGUUUUCGAUUGCAGCUUUUACUGUCUGUGCUGUUGUUGGCUACUACAGGAAUGCUUCGGUGGACCUCGUGGCUAUGGUCCUCCCGGCCCUGGCGGGCCUCCCCCAUUCUGAUCCUAUUCUGUAUGUUGCACAGAGAUAGAGGUCAUCUGCAGCAUAGUUGUUCCUUACCAUAAUUUUUACAGUCUACUAGUGUUUACAAUUUCAUCACUGCUGUCCGCUUUGUUUUCUUGUUGUUUCCAACGCUAUUGUCAUCUAUUAUGAAAACUGGUUUGAGUAUUAAUAAAUGUUAUCAGCUGAUUAAUUGGGAUGAUUACUUCAACUGGGAAAGUUCAUCUUUUUUUUUUUUUUUUUUUUUGGGGGGGGGGGGUGUUUCAAACUAGUAUUGUUGAUUGGAGUGUACCAAAGAAAAAACUUACCUCUUUAUUUGUUUUCCCUGUUUUAUCCAUCUUGGUAUGCAACAUCAAUGAGAAUUCCCUUUGCUAACAUGUAAAGGAAUUUCACAAGCUGAAUGUCUGAGGAGCCAAACCAAAGCUUAAAGACGCGUAGGAUGGAUGUCAAAGUAAAAAUAAUCAAAUCCCAUAAUUCUUGUAUAUAUAACGUGUUUGUAUGUAUAAAUUACAAAAAAUUAUUGUAUCAAAUUCAUUUGAUACACGCAAUAGGAAAC
rnacentral:lncRNA from 1 species